UCUCCGCUGAGGCAGCUUCUGUGCCUCUCCACUCCCAGAAGGAGCAGAAUCAUCCGGUUAGCUGGUCAGAAAUACCUCAACAGGAGGUGUACCUGCGAUUGAUUCUGGUAAUGAAGAAACCUCAGCCCCACAAUGCUACCUACAGUAAGAGAUCCUGUGGGGAUCCCACUUCCGGCCCACUCUGAGAUCACUUCAUACCUUGGCAGGAGAUGUACAUCUAGUAGAGGCAGCAUACAAUGGAAUGUCUCCAGAAAUCUCACGUAAGACAUGGAUAAAAACCAGGAAGUAGGCAAAAAAGCUCCUAAGGAUCACCAAAACAUAUAAACUAAGACAAAACAGAAGGAGAAACAAAACUCAGAGAUGGUGCCUGAGAAUGAGACUAAAAAAAGCCAUAAGCCCUUUCCAUUUAAAGACUGGAUGGAAGAAGGGGAAGGAUGGGAGGGAGAUCAGUGUGCAAAGGAUAAAUUUAAAUCGGAAGAGCAGGAAGAUUCCCAGAAGCCCUCAAAGUGGGCAGGAUAAAAAGGACUUUGUGCCUGCAGACUGGAGAGACGGUGGAGAAUCCUGUAGGCAAGCUGACCCGGUAAUUGAUGAUAAUCAUCCAAGAAUCCUGGGUAUCUGUAAGUCCUCCAUAACCACACAGGGUACAGUGGAAAAUAAAAGGAAAAACUUGCCCCCAACCAAGGUGGAAACAAAACAGAAUCAUUUAGAAAGUUCUCUCUGGAGCCAAAGUAGGGGUGGACAUGUUUGCUUCUAUUCCAGUUAAGCACAUCAUAGGAAAAUGCAAUACUAAAGAAAUGGUUGCAGGAGCCUGGGGUAAAAACACACAUUUAGAUAAGUAACCAACUGUGGAAUUAUGGUUAACACAGUUCUUUUUACCUUUUUACAGUUCAAAGAAUGUGUAGAAAUGAAUGAAUUGGCCCUGUAAUUGUUAUUUAUUUCCUAUACUUAUAAUGAAAAAAAUCCCAUGCUGAUUUCUAAAAUGUUUAAUGAUGUUCAUAUCAUUCUAUCCAAUGAAUAAGCUUCCAACUAGAUAAUGAGACUUUUUAAACUGAAUCUGAUACUGACUGGAGAGGAAUGCAUGGACACGUGCAAAAAAAACAUGAAAUCUGUGAUGAACGAUACUGUUGAAGCAGUAAAAUGCAUCAAAACCAUUGCAUAAUCUGACUGGAACAGUAGACAUUGUGUUCAUCAAGCAUGCCUUGAUCCAAAGUAUCUGGUUCUCAAUCUUCUCACUAUGUUCAAUGAGCUGAUAAAAAUAGGGCAGAUACAUUCAGGAUUGACUUGACCAGCUCUUAGUGAGAAGAUACCUUAUUAAAAUUUUACCAACAGUUGCAUGAAAAUGCCCUGAACUUCCUCUUUGACAGCAUUGACAUAGCUCAUAAAACUGAAAAAUCUGUACAUAUACACAUAUACAAACCCUGGAUUUAUGCAUUCAUGUUCUUGAAAUAUUAAGGGAAAUUGCUCAGACACCAAAACUGAUGUACUGUACUAGAUCUUUACCACUCAUCUGGGUUCUCCCCUGGUGAGAGACUCAUUAUGAAAGACACUAAGCCAAUGAGUUAGGUAGAAAUCAUUUUUGAAUAUUUUCCCACAGUUUAUGAUUUACAUUUUUUAUGUUAAAACAGACAUAAAUACAGAAUAAAGAAUUCACAUAAAUUUCUGAUAUAAAAAAUAAAGAAUUUUCCCAUUUUCUGAAGGGACAAGGCUGAGAUAUGGCCCCAGACUUCCAGAGAUAUUAAUGUCCACACUAUUAGGGAUAAUUAUUGGGAACAGUUAUAGAGCACUGGCUUGGAGUCUAUAUACAGAGAAGCCUAUCAGGGAUAAAUUGCUCAGCUUUCAUGACUGUUCAUGCCAGAAAAGGGAGUGGCAACAAUUAGAAGCCCUUGCAAUAGACAUAGUUAUUGAGGUGUCAUCACAUAGCAUUCGAACAAAGAGGCCAUAAUGUGGACAACACACGUGUCCAGGAAAUAUAAUUCAAUUUUCCUCAAACAAUGAGUGGACUCUGUUACAAAACAGAUGCAAUCUGGAAUUAACACCAUCUAAAUCUGCUAAGAAUAAAAUAUUCAUUAGUUGACAGAAUACUUCAACUGAGCAUGUUUUAAAAGAUGGCAAUUUAGCCUCAUAUCCAGAUCAUUAAUCACGAAAUCAUUAUACUUUAUUUGUAUUAUUUCUCUUGAUGUGGCAUCUUUCCUUGGAUGAGACAACCCAAUCAAAAAACACCAUGAAAAAUCUUAGCCCAGCCAGCCCUAGCCUCACCGUCUGCCUUCAAAAUGAGUUCUGCUAACCCUCUGCAAUCUUAUGCAUUCAUAUACCAUCCCUACCUACUCUUCCCUGACUGGUACCUAUCUCACUGCAUCAAUUUUUUAUAUUGCAAUCAACCCUACAUCUCAGUAGAAGUUUUUGAAAAUAAUGCAGGGAAAAUUAUUUUGAAAUAAAGUGAAAACUUCAGUAAUUUGAUUUGCAGGAGGAAAUGAAGAACAAAGUGUCACAACCUGAGUGCUUUUAAAUAAGUCAUAAUUAAUUACGCAUGCAUCUAUGUUUGAAUGCUCAAUUUAUGACUAAUUAUGCAGAAAAUGUAAUUGCGUACUGAAGUAUUCAAUUGUGCUUUCUCUCACUCUUAUUUACCCCAACCAGGAGUUGUGGUUUCUUUGUUGUUGUUAAUGAUAUGUGCCACCUGUUGAAACUGUUGAAAUGUUGUCAAGACACAAAUAAUCACAUGAUCUCUCCUAAAAUAUAGUUGUUCCUAUUGAGAAAACUGUAGAAAGAUCUAAAAUUGCUUCAUAAUUUAUCCUAUUUUUCAAAAAAAAAUGUGGGUACUUCUAUAUUCUUUUGUCCUCUACUGAAUGAAAUACAGUUGCUAAGAAAUCACAUUAGGCACAUCCUGCCAGCUUCGUUUCUCCUAUGGAUUUGCAAUAUAGACUUUUUAUUUUCUUGGAAGAGUCAUAAAGCUCAAAGGAAUCAUGAAUGACCGUCACAUUUAUGUCAUCCUAGACAGGCUUCUUUUUAAUGAUACUAAAGGGAAUUUGUAACCUUUUCUCCAUCUUAA